CACACACACACACACACAGUGCCACACACACACACUGCCACACACACACACACAGUGCCACACACACACACACACAGUGCCACACACACACACAGUGCCACACACACACAGUGCCACACACACACACACAGUGCCACACACACAGUGCCACACACACACACACACACACACACACACACACACACACACAGUGCCACACACACACACACACACACACAGUGCCACACACAGUGCCACACACACACAGUGCCACACACAGUGCCACACACACACAGUGCCACACACACAGUGCCACACACACACAGUGCCACACACACAGUGCCACACACACAGUGCCACACACACACAGUGCCACACACACAGUGCCACACACACAGUGCCACACACAGUGCCACACACACACACACACACA
ensembl:lncRNA